AAGCGCGCAGUCGGUGGGCGACCACACCACCUCGAGCGUGGUGCAGUCGAUCUUCGUCGUGAUCCUGCUCGACGCGCUGGC
rnacentral:tRNA from 1 species